GUGAGUCCUCAGACUGUGGAGGCCUCUGAAGUAUAGAUAAGCAAAGCACCUGGACCUGCUCUGAAGGGUCUCACCUGGAUCUGAGGUCUGAUGGCACAAAGCCUGUACUGCUUUUGAGACAAUGUUGACACAGUGAAUGCGCAGCAGAUGUGAACCUUUCUUGUAAAAGGGAUUUGAAAAUCCACAGCAUAAUCUGUGGUCAUUCAGCCAGGCUGAGUUGGAGCCUUCUCCCUCUCUGGGUCAGAGAAAUGUAAAUGAGGUGAGAUGAAUCAUCAAAUCAGAGAGAUGAGGCAAAUUCCCCCAGGCCAUGUGGCUGAUGAAGACGAUGAUGAUACAGCUGACAUUUAAGCACCUGCUUGUGCCAGGCAUGGCUCUAAAGACUUCACAUACAUUAACUCCUUUAAUCUUAAUAGCCACUCCUGAGUCAGUACUAUUUUUAUCCCCAUUUUACAGAUGAGAACUCCAAAAGGCAGAAAGAUUAAGCAACUUGACCAAAGAUGUAUGCUAAUAAGUGACAGAUUUAGGACUUGAAUCAAGAUGGUUGUGACCAGAGUUCGGCAAGCUUUUUCUAUAAAGGACCACGUACUAAAUAUCCUAUCUGUGCAGUUUCUGUCACAGAUACUCAGCUCUGCCAUUGUAGUACAGAAGGAUCCACAGACUGUGUAAACAAAUGAGCAUGGUUGUAU